rnacentral:rRNA from 1 species
GUGGGGAAUCUUAGACAAUGGGGGCAACCCUGAUCUAGCCAUGCCGCGUGAGUGAUGAAGGCCUUAGGGUCGUAAAGCUCUUUCGCUGGGGAAGAUAAUGACGGUACCCAGUAAAGAAACCCCGGCUAACUCCGUGCCAGCAGCCGCGGUAAUACGGAGGGGGUUAGCGUUGUUCGGAAUUACUGGGCGUAAAGCGCGCGUAGGCGGAUUGGAAAGUUGGGGGUGAAAUCCCGGGGCUCAACCCUGGAAUGGCCUUCAAAACUCCCAGUCUUGAGGUCGAGAGAGGUGAGUGGAAUUCCGAGUGUAGAGGUGAAAUUCGUAGAUAUUCGGAGGAACACCAGUGGCGAAGGCGGCUCACUGGCUCGAUACUGACGCUGAGGUGCGAAAGCGUGGGGAGCAAACAGGAUUAGAAACCCUGGUAGUCC